ensembl:lncRNA
CUAAUUUCUGUGUGGAGGUAGGAGAAAUCUAUUGAGUUCUGGAGUCUUCAUUGUAGCUGAGCUUUGUGUAUUGAAAUUUUAAACACUUACAGACAAUGUUAGAUAUUGGGAUGCUAGCAGCAUACACUCAAAACUUGGCUGAUUUCCCAUGGGCUAAAGCGGAGAGCAGAAUUUCAGUCAUUUGCUCAUCCUGACUUCCGGCUUUGGACAUCAGGGCUCUGGGAGAGACUCGGAGAUGAGAUGGAGAGUAGGGGGGUGAACAGGUGCAGGGAAAACCAAGCCCUGUCUUUACCCUCCCAUCCCUUGUGGUCUAGAACCAGCAGUAAGACCAGGACCUACAUCACUCAGGAGGGCCAAGGGAGGGAGGCAGGAAGUGCUCCAGGGCAGAGUCUCAGGAAGGCCUCCCAAGAGGAGAGGGGAUGGGAACUAGGGCUGGGAGCAAGGGAGUAUUGCAGGUGGAGGGAACAGCAAGAGCAAUGGUACUGAGGUGGGAAAGGGCAGAGGAGACGAGGGACUGAAUGGAAAUAAGCCCAUAAACUUUGAUUGACUGUGUUCAGUAGGGCUCAUGAAUGCAGCAAAGCCAUAUGGCUGGCUAAUUAGAGGCAGUCAUUUCAAUGCUCUUGUGGCAUUAAGAUAAGCUACAGGCAGCUCGCAGUCCAAGGCUUAUUUUUGUGACUGUAAUCCAUCUAAUGGCAAUGGCUUAUGGACUAUUGUCUAGCCAGGCCCCACUGGAAGUUUCUAUCAAAGCUAAUAAUGAGGGCCGGGAGCUCCAAGGACUUGGGACAGAUGCAGAGCCUUCCUCUAUGCCUGACAAGGUGCCAUAAUUCUCGUGUUUGCGUGGAACUUUGCAAAAUCCAGACAGAGCAGGAGAGCGGAGGCCAAGGCAGGCUGUUCCCUUCUGAUGGGCCCCAUAAGGGCUCUGAGGGAAUCCUCAAGCUGCAAGCCUCUGAAAUAACAUUGACUGAAUUUCAGAACGUGCAAAGAUAGACUCUCUAAGUCUGAGGCUGGGAGCUAUAACUCUCUACAGUUGCUCUCUAAACAAAAACCACAGAUGCAAACUGGAGUAAGCCAGAAAAAUCAAGAAAAGUCUGUUUGUACAAUUGGCAAAUCUUAAAAGAUCCCUUCCAGAAAUUUCCAUUUUCCAUUUCCCGUUGGGACGCAGCUCGAAGCUGCCCUCUGAAGCACAUGAAACAUAGCUACAAUCCCAAGAGCAGGAAGGAACAGACCCAAGAAAGAGUCAUCGUACCUGUCCUGCCGAAUGCUUUGUGUAAAUGCUUUAAUCCAUGUACUCUUUCCUUGAUAAGAUCAUCAGAAACUAAGAUGGGCCACCAUUUUCAGGUACGAGCACUUGGAGUCAAAAUAAAGGGUCUUUACUACUUUCUGAAAGACCAAGGUGUGGAAAUUUGAUGCACAAAAGGCAAUUGCCCUUCUCUGCUGCAAAUGCUGUCUCAUUGAUGUUCAUUGAUUCAUUUAUUUUCAUUUGGCUAAUGUGUGCUCUUCCCCAGAAAUCUGAGGAAUGGGCUAUAUAAUACCUUAACUUAGAUUUAUUAAAGAAUAAUUUACAUACAAUAAAAUUCACCCUUUUUAGUGUAUAGUUUUAUGAGAUUUCACAAAUGUGGAGUUAGUGUAGCUAUCACUACGAUCAAGAUAUAAAACAUUUCCAAUAACCACAAAAGUUCUCUUGGGCCCCUGAGUGGUCAACCCUUUCUGACCUUUCCAUUACGUGACAACUAUUGAUCUCUUUUCUGUCCCUGUAGUUCUGCUUCUUGCAGAAUAUUAUAUGAAUGGAAUUAGACAUCAUGCAUCCACUUGAGUCUGGCUUCUUUCACUUAGCUUAAUGCAUUUGAGAUUCAUCAGUGUGGUUAUGUGCAUCCAUAAUGCAUUCCUUUUUAUUGCUGUAUAGUAUUCCACUGUAUGGAUGUAGCACAGUGUUUCUCCUUUCAUCUGUUGAAGGUCAUUUGAGUUGUCGCAGUUUUGAAAGUUAUGACUAAAACCUUUAGAUACACUCACAAAGAGGGCUUUGUGUGAACACAAGAUGUCUCAAACUCAACAUGUCAAAAAUUAAAUUACUGAUCUUUUUUCCAACUUGCCCACCCAUAACCUUCCCAUUCUCAUUCAAUGACCUAUCCUUCCAGGUGUCCACACCGAAAACAGGUGCAUCAAACUUGUCACUUCUCUCAUAUGUCACAACAGUCUGUCAGCAAAUUCUGGUGGCUCUACCUUCAGAAGAUAUCCAGAAUCCUACCACAUUUUACCACCUCCACUUCUCCCAUGCUGGUUCAGUCCACCCCUAUCUCUUAUCUAGAUCAUGGAUUUGGCUUCUUAAACAUUAAGUCAGAUCACGUCACUCCUUUGUUCCCCAUUUCACUCAGAGGAAAACUCCAAGUCCUUAAGAAUGUCCCAUAAGGCCCUGUACUAUUGGGUUCUUUUUCUUGUUACCUCUCUGAUCUUUUUCUGCCACUUACCUUGCUUUCUCUGUUUUAGACACACUGGUCUCCUUGCUGUUCCUCACAUAUGAU